rnacentral:rRNA from 1 species
CAUGCACCGAAGCUGCGGCAGCGACACUAUGUGUUGUUGGGUAGGGGAGCGUUCUGUAAGCCUGUGAAGGUGGCCUGUGAGGGUUGCUGGAGGUAUCAGAAGUGCGAAUGCUGACAUAAGUAACGAUAAAGCGGGUGAAAAGCCCGCUCGCCGGAAGACCAAGGGUUCCUGUCCAACGUUAAUCGGGGCAGGGUGAGUCGACCCCUAAGGCGAGGCCGAAAGGCGUAGUCGAUGGGAAACGGGUUAAUAUUCCCGUACUUGGUGUUACUGCGAAGGGGGGACGGAGAAGGCUAUGUUGGCCGGGCGACGGUUGUCCCGGUUUAAGCGUGUAGGUGUGUGUUCCAGGUAAAUCCGGUUCACUUUAACACUGAGGCGUGAUGACGAGGCACUACGGUGCUGAAGCAACAAAUGCCCUGCUUCCAGGAAAAGCCUCUAAGCAUCAGGUAACAUCAAAUCGUACCCCAAACCGACACAGGUGGUCAGGUAGAGAAUACCAAGGCGCUUGAGAGAACUCGGGUGAAGGAACUAGGCAAAAUGGUGCCGUAACUUCGGGAGAAGGCACGCUGACAUGUAGGUGAAGUGAUUUACUCAUGGAGCUGAAGUCAGUCGAAGAUACCAGCUGGCUGCAACUGUUUAUUAAAAACACAGCACUGUGCAAACACGAAAGUGGACGUAUACGGUGUGACGCCUGCCCGGUGCCGGAAGGUUAAUUGAUGGGGUCAGCGCAAGCGAAGCUCCUGAUCGAAGCCCCGGUAAACGGCGGCCGUAACUAUAACGGUCCUAAGGUAGCGAAAUUCCUUGUCGGGUAAGUUCCGACCUGCACGAAUGGCGUAAUGAUGGCCAGGCUGUCUCCACCCGAGACUCAGUGAAAUUGAACUCGCUGUGAAGAUGCAGUGUACCCGCGGCAAGACGGAAAGACCCCGUGAACCUUUACUAUAGCUUGACACUGAACAUUGAGCCUUGAUGUGUAGGAUAGGUGGGAGGCUUUGAAGUGUGGACGCCAGUCUGCAUGGAGCCGACCUUGAAAUACCACCCUUUAAUGUUUGAUGUUCUAACGUGGACCCGU